UUCCGUAGGGUAACCUGCGGAGGGAUCAUUACACAAAUAUGAAGGCGGGCUGGAACCUCUCGGGGUUACAGCCUUGCUGAAUUAUUCACCCUUGUCUUUUGCGUACUUCUUGUUUCCUUGGUGGGUUCGCCCACCACUAGGACAAACAUAAACCUUUUGUAAUUGCAAUCAGCGUCAGUAACAAAUUAAUAAUUACAACUUUCAACAACGGAUCUCUUGGUUCUGGCAUCGAUGAAGAACGCAGCGAAAUGCGAUAAGUAGUGUGAAUUGCAGAAUUCAGUGAAUCAUCGAAUCUUUGAACGCACAUUGCGCCCUUUGGUAUUCCAAAGGGCAUGCCUGUUCGAGCGUCAUUUGUACCCUCAAGCUUUGCUUGGUGUUGGGCGUCUUGUCUCUAGCUUUGCUGGAGACUCGCCUUAAAGUAAUUGGCAGCCGGCCUACUGGUUUCGGAGCGCAGCACAAGUCGCACUCUCUAUCAGCAAAGGUCUAGCAUCCAUUAAGCCUUUUUUUCAACUUUUGACCUCGGAUCAGGUAGGGAUACCCGCUGAACUUAAGCAUAUCAAUAAGGCGGA
rnacentral:rRNA from 1 species